UGGGGAAUAUUGGACAAUGGGCGCAAGCCUGAUCCAGCCAUGCCGCGUGAGUGAUGAAGGCCCUAGGGUUGUAAAGCUCUUUCACCGGUGAAGAUAAUGACGGUAACCGGAGAAGAAGCCCCGGCUAACUUCGUGCCAGCAGCCGCGGUAAUACGAAGGGGGCUAGCGUUGUUCGGAUUUACUGGGCGUAAAGCGCACGUAGGCGGACUUUUAAGUCAGGGGUGAAAUCCCGGGGCUCAACCCCGGAACUGCCUUUGAUACUGGAAGUCUGGAGUAUGGUAGAGGUGAGUGGAAUUCCGAGUGUAGAGGUGAAAUUCGUAGAUAUUCGGAGGAACACCAGUGGCGAAGGCGGCUCACUGGACCAUUACUGACGCUGAGGUGCGAAAGCGUGGGGAGCAAACAGG
rnacentral:rRNA from 2 species